UUACGGCAAUAUUACGUUGAAACACUGAUUCUCAUAUGAUCACCGAAGAUAAGCAACCUCGGGCCUGAUCAGUACCUAGAUGGUGACCACUUGGGAAUACCAGGUACUGUAA